CCUACGGGUGGCUGCAGUGAGGAAUAUUGGUCAAUGGGCGCGAGCCUGAACCAGCCAAGUAGCGUGAAGGAUGACUGCCCUACGGGUUGUAAACUUCUUUUAUAAAGGAAUAAAGUGAGGCACGUGUGCCUUUUUGUAUGGACUUUAUGAAUAAGGAUCGGCUAACUCCGUGCCAGCAGCCGCGGUAAUACGGAGGAACCGAGCGUUAUCCGGAUUUAUUGGGUUUAAAGGGAGCGUAGAUGGGUUGUUAAGUCAGUGGUGAAAGUUUGCGGCUCAACCGUAAAAUUGCAAUUGAUACUGGCAGCCUUGCGUACAGUUGCGGUAGGCGUACUUCGUGGUGUAGCGGU
rnacentral:rRNA from 1 species